rnacentral:rRNA from 1 species
UACGAAGGGGGCUAGCGUUGCUCGGAAUUACUGGGCGUAAAGGGCGCGUAGGCGGCCUUCUAAGUCGAACGUGAAAUCCCCGGGCUCAACCCGGGAACUGCGUCCGAUACUGGAAGGCUUGAAUCCGGGAGAGGGAUGCGGAAUUCCAGGUGUAGCGGUGAAAUGCGUAGAUAUCUGGAGGAACACCGGUGGCGAAGGCGGCAUCCUGGACCGGCAUUGACGCUGAGACGCGAAAGCGUGGGGAGCGAACAGG